CAUAAAAAAGCAAACAUGGAGGAUCCCAAACUGAGAAAAAGAUGCAACCCAUUAAGUCUUCUUGAGGACUUCCUUAUAUACCAGUGUCACCCUGUGCAGCUGUCAUUGCAGUCAGGACUCAGCAUGGACAUGAGGGCCCCUGCUCAGCUCCUUGGACUUCUUCUUCUCUGGCUUUCAGGUGCCAGAUGUGACAUCCAGAUGACCCAGUCUCCAUCCUCCCUCUCUGCAUCUCUGGGAGACAGAGUCACCAUCACUUGCAAAGCAAGUCAGGGCAUUAGCAAUUAUUUAAACUGGUAUCAGCAGAAACCAGGGAAAGCUCCUAAGCUCCUGAUCUAUUAUACAAAUAGGUUGGCAAGUGGGGUCCCAUCGAGGUUCAGUGGCAGUGGGUCUGGGACAGAUUAUUCUCUCACCAUUAACAGCCUGGAGUCUGAAGACUUUGCAACUUAUUAUUGUCAAAAUGGUAUUAGUACCUCUCCCACAGUGAUUCAAGUCAUAACAUAA